rnacentral:lncRNA from 1 species
GAAUAAUCAAGAUAGGGUGCACAAAAAUCAUGGAUAGUUCAAGUUACUCAUAGGCCUAAACUUAAGAUCACAAGUUCUUGCUUUUUUCUCAGCAGAUUUCCAUGUGGCAUACACCAGCUCAGCAAUUACCCUUGGCAUUUCACUACAGACACCCUAUUCCUUCCCCCAGAGAGAGGAGCAGCUCGCCACUUCCCCUAGUCCAAAGCUGUUCAUUUUGAGUCCCAGGAUGAUUAAUGGUGACAAUAUUCUUCUUCUGGAGAAAACUCUACCCCAACUACAGGGUGUGGUUUGACUUCACGGACUCCAGCCAUAUGUCCUAGAACCUGGCUUAUUCAAACUUAAAAUAACACCCUCUGUGGGAUACCGACAGCCCUACAACUAUCUAUGCUUAAUUUUACAGAAUGUAACCACCAGCCUGCACAUCUGCAUUCACCUAUAUGGCAACUUCAUCCUCAAGAAGCAGAAUGAAGCGGCAUAGUCAACUGUCAUUAAAGGAAAAUCAGAUUGAGGGCUGUACGGCAAACCCAGCCAAAGCUACACCUUCCACAGAUGAGGGAACCAGGAGACAAGGAACUUGCCACAGGUCACACAGCAACUGAUUCAUAGAAGAGCCAGACAAGAGCGGAGUCAUUUUGGAAGAGAAUAUCCCCUGCACAGCAAGCUUUACAAAAUGAUCAUCCCUUGUGGAAUGCAAACAAAAUGGCCACCAUUUAUUAAUGUUCACAAGAGUUAUUAUUAUAAAUCCAGAUAUUUUCAUACUCUGUUGAAGCUAUUUAUGUCACGUGAACAGGAUAUCUGCCCAGAGUUACUAAGAAGCAGCCUUAAGUACAACAUAAGCCUCUAGGUCCUGUCAAAAAUAACUG